rnacentral:lncRNA from 1 species
GGGGGUUCUAACCUUGUAUUUCUAAGUUGGAUAAUGGACUUCAUUUUUGAAUUGGCCUACAUUUGUACAUUGAGGUCCAAAGGGUCCAAAAUCAAAAAACUUUGUUUGAUUUCAUCAAAAACUGAAUUAUUGCGGCUCUAAUGAUAUGCCUAUAAAUUUUUCAUUUUGUGCCCAAGAGUGUUUUGAAACUUUUCAAAUAAGUCCAUAUUGUAGGUUUGAAGGGCUUGAUUUCGACUAACAUUGAAUAUUUUGUGUUUUUUUUUUACAUGCUGAAUCUAACUAUGUUGUUAGAUUUUGGUAUCAGACCUUACUCAUGUUACUAGUUAAAUUAGA